GCUUUGCCUAAAAGGACAGAACCCUCCCACCAUACUCCCAGACUCUAAUAAAAGAAAAAGUCCAACCACUUCCCAGCUGCUUGGGCUUCACUGCCUUGGUGCCUUUCACCAUCACCACCUGCAGCCUCUGUAGCUGGGACCAGACUUUCAGCGGGCCAGCCAGAAGGGGAGGAGUUUGCUCAAAGCUGUUGGAAUCAGCAGAUAUGCAAAAUGACUGUAAGAUAAAAUAGCACAGGUCUCAUUCCUCCAUGGAGAGGAAGAAGAGGUCUGAUUUCCACUCCAGCUUCACGGAGGAAUUACAGAAUGGUGCCAGCAGAAGCACUCCAAAAAGCCAGCCUCUUCAGAGAUAGACCACAGCCCCUGAGCACUGCGAGAGGUAUGUGUGCGGUAUUGCCACUGCAAUAGGUGCAUCUGUGGAUGCUUGUGUCUGGCUAACACACCUCGUGGCAUCUUGCGCCUUUGUCUUUUCCUCUUCAGGCCCAGGCCAACCACAAUAUUUUUUUUUUUCAAAAGCAGACUGCUCCACUUAAAAUUCUGUUAAGCUGGUCACUUUCCAAAUUCUUUCCCCCUCAUAAUAGCUGUUUAUUUUUUAUUAAAAUAUUUUUAUGGAUCUUUUUGUAACUUCACAGUUGUCUCCAUACAUAUAUUUUCCAAAUUCUUAUCCUGGAGUCAAGACUUCAUUCCCUGCUUAUCACAACUAAGGUAGAGGACACAGAUACAAGUGAGAGGGAGGGAUGUCCUCACCUCACUGGUUACUCAGGGUUGUAGCUAGCUCAGCACUAACACUUGCUACUCAGGGUUUUAAGUUGCUGGGCCCUGGCCUCCAGCUUGUAGCUUUGUAGCCUUGGGGCCAUAAUAGCCAGUGGUGAGACCCUAGGAGACAUUCAGAGGCCACCUUGACAAGUGGGGAUAAAAAAGUCUGCCCAAGCUGUUUGCAGAGCCUUGGCAUCUGGAGUCAGGAGAGCUUACAUGCAGUGUGGUGAGGAAACGCCAUUGCUGCAGCAAAAACCAGGCAGACCAGCUUUCUCUUUGAACGCUUACUGAGUGAUCCUAGACUGCCAUGUCCAACAACUGUAAAAGGAAGAUAUGAGUAUUCACGUUAUAAAGAGAAAAGGUGAGAGGGUGGGACUAGAUAGUGCUUUCUAAAGAGUCCGGUGCUCAGUAGAAAGGUGGGCAGGAAGGGGCAGCACUUAGUACUGGCAAGCAAAGGAACCAAAAGGCCCAGCAUGGAGGACAGUGGGAGGAGGGAGAAGAGGAAGAGAGAGCAGAACUGUACUUUCAGGGAGAGGUUUUUCAGUAAAGAUCUGCAAUACAUUUUUCAGGGCCUGUGGCAAAACAGAAGUGUAAGGCUUCUGGAUCAAAACCCAGCAGAGAGGUGGAGCAUCAUGUUUUCCUUCUGGAUUCUCUGUCCUCCCCACCCCCACCCCAACAAGUUCUUAUUUUAAAAUGCUUUAAGAUGAACAGAAAAAUCUCAAAGAUCAUAGAGUGCCUGCAUCCUUGCAUUUACUUUCCUCGAAUUGCUAACAUUCUACUACGUUAUUUGGAUGCCUUUGACUCAAUUAGCAAAUGGCUUGGUGAGUGUCACUUAAUGACAUGUUCUUUCAGGCAUAGAAGUACCGAGAGGGAGGACAGGUCCUUCAAUAGACUUGAAGUGAUGCUCACUCUGACUGAAGGUGUGCACACAGAUCCCCAGGUACUGGCAACUCUUCCUACAGCAGGUUUUUGUGCUAUGCCUGAACUGGGAAAAGCAAGACAAGCAUUUUCCCACAGCACAGGACUCUUUGACUUACAGAUAAAGUCCUAAGGGUACUACUGUCUCUUCCCUGGGACCUGCUGCAUACUGAGGUCAAAGGUUAUGCUGAUUGACACAAACUAGUCAUUUGGAAAGAAGGAGCCCUCAUUGAGAAAAUUCAUCCAUCAGACUGCUGUGAGGACAUUUUCUUGAUUAAUGAUUGAUGUUGCACCUACCAGUGGUAGUAGGUGGUCCUAGGCUGUAUAAAAGAAAGCUGGGGUUGGGGAUUUUGCUCAGUGGUAGAGCGCUUGCCUAGGAAGCGCAAGGCCCUGGGUUCGGUCCCCAGCUCCAAAAAAAAAAAAAAAAAAAAAGAAAAGAAAAAAAAGAAAGAAAGCUGAGAGAGCCAUGGGGAGCAAGGUAGUCAGCAGCAUUCCAUCAUGCUCUGCUUGAGUUCCUGCCUCCAGGUUCCUUCUGUGCUUGAGUUCCUGUCUUAGCGUCCAUCAGUGAUGGACUGUGAUCACUUGGAGCCGAAUAAACCCUUCAAUAAACCCUUCCCUCCCCAAGUGGUUUUGUUCACAGCCUUUAUCACAACAACAGGAAGCCUACUAGAACAGUGAUAAACAAGAUGUUUGUCAUAUGGAGACACUGGCUCUGUUCGCCACUUGCCAACCCAGAGCAAGGACGGCUUUUAACUAUACCCACCAUAAAACUUUGCACAGCACACUGGCCACACCCAGAUCCUUCUUGUGCCUGUACCCAGCCUCUGUUGGAGAUGGUGGGACACAGUAUUCAUAGGUGAUGAGAAGAAGAAGGAUGUUGGAUGUUUUCUGGGAUGCCAGAGGUUAGAGGAAGAGAGUGGUUGAGAAAAUAGGGAUGGGGAUGUAACUCAGUGAUAGCAUAAUUGCUUGAUGACAUGGAUCCUUGUCUAAUCCUUAGAACUGCAAAGAGCAAGCAGGCAGGCAGGCAGGCAAGCAAAAAUCCGAAAACAGCUACCAAACAGAGAAAAGUUUUGAGAACCUCUCUAGGGAGACAGACUAAUAGCCAAAUUCAUUUGCAGCACACAAGUUCCAAGAUAAACUAUGAGCUUUGAAAAGGCAGCAAAUAUGGUCCCGUUUGUGCACAGGGCUCUAUGAAACUACACAGGUUAUAUUUCCAGAAAGUUGCCCUGUUCCUGUCAUGCAUAAGAUGGUUCUGAAGGAAGUAAGGCUGUCACUACAGAAGCAAGUCUUGGUGGGAGGGGCUGAGAAUGAGGACUGCAAGCAUGAACGAUGGUAUCAGGAAGCCUAGCAUUCAAAGAGAAGCCACAGGGAAAGCCCACCUUCUUUCUUCUUAGUCCUGCAAGAACAGCUGAGGAAGCUUUCCUUUCUUCAAUAGGAAGAUGGGCUGCAGGAUCAUUAUAGAUAAUAAGGAACUGGCGAAGGAAGAAAAGUAGACAUGAUACAGGUCGUGGUGGUAAACCCCCAUUAGUAACAUCAUAGUGCAAACUUUUUCAUUUACAUGUUGGUGUUUACAUACAAUGUCUAUACAUUAAAUUAAGUCACGAUGUAUACAAUGUAUAGACUUCUGAAUAACCUUCUUUGGUUCAGCCAAUGCUCUUCCCCAUUUUCCUCUGUUUUUUUUAUACAUUUUCAGCUUGUCUACUAUUUGGGAUCAUAGUCUAAAUUCCCCAGUGUUUUCAUUCUAAGUUUUCAUUCUAAUCCAGAAACAAUGUGUGUGUGUGUGUGUGUGUGUGUGUGUGUGUGUGUGUGUGUGUGUGUGUGUGUGUGGUGGGGAAUGUAUAUUGGGAAGAUGAGUCUAGAAGUAUGACCCACAGAAGAGUCAUGGUGGGAAGGGGUUAUUAGAAAGCUCUGAAUACUCUCAUACAACCAGCUCCUCCUAAUCAGAACACACGCAGUAAAUAGCAACACUUACAAAGUUGGUGACCUGACUGGAAGCAGACUUCAGCUCCCUAAAAUCUGACGCUGUAAUGUAUGAAGCUCAGUGUGAUCUUUUUACACUUGACUUUAUGGAGGCGGGGACAGACGCUCCCCCAACAGCAUUGAUGCCUUCUAAACAGAAACUUUCCACUGGAGACAAAUGAGGAAGUUGGAGUUCAGAGAGAUCUUUUGGAAAGAAAUGACACCUGUUGAGAGUAGAAAAGAAUUUAAGUGGAUUUCUCAAACCAGAGUGCUGAAGUAGAUAACCAUGAUAUGGGAGCUUUUCCUUUUGUACAAAAGAGUAUCCCAAACCCAGAGAAGCAGAGCGAUAAAUGACCCAUCAAGGCACUCAGAAAGGGGACAGGAGAAGCACAGCUCCUGCAGAAGAAGAGGACAUGGAAGUAAGUGUUUUCAGGACUCUAGCAAAACAAGUGGCUCAAGACCUGAAGAAAAGGCAAGACCUGGGGGCAAAAACUCAUGGUAAGCUGCUGACUCAUUAAGCUACCGGAAGCUCCCACAGUUGUGUUCCCUCAGUAACCUGCUGAUGCAGCUCUUCACCGAAAGCUACCUGGGAGUUGGGGGAAGGUACCAUGUUUGUAAUCUCAGUUCUGCAGAGAUGGAAGGAACAGGAGUCCUGAGGUAGCCUGGUCUACAUAGCAAGAAAAAAAGAAAGAAAGAAAGAAGGAGAGAAAGAAAGAAAGGAAGGAAGGAAGAAAGGAAGAAAGGAAGAAAGAGAGAAAGAAAGAAAGAAGAGUGAGCCCUAUACAGAAAAAACCCCAAGCAUUUAUGGAUUCAAAAGAAAGUGAUGCUGCUGUCUAAGUCAAGCUGCUCAUUAACCUCAGGACCUUCAACACACUCAAGAGGAUUCACUGUGGCAUGCGCAGGCUUUGGACCCACUCUCUCUGGGUUUAGUCCUCCAUUUUUGUUUUGUCAGCAAAAUGUCACCUUCUUAGGCUUUAUUCUUUCUUUUUCAAAACUGCAUUAACACAUGGCAAACAUAAACCCCUGACCCCUUCUAAUUUCAAUACAGUAAGUGAUAAAGACUGUGAUAAAGACUGUGAUAAAGACCGUGAAACAAGAACAGAAGCAAAUACUUUCCCGAGACAUGGUGCUGUUGGUUUAUUAUUACAUUUUGCCUUUAUGAGCACUUUCCUUCAAAUAAAGUCCAACCUUUUUAUGUA